UGUUGAACAGCAGGUUAAAGAGGAAACAGACCACAGAGCCAUGCAUAUGCCAAUCUAGUGUUAUGACAGAAAGGGAAAACUGAACCAGAAGAUGCUGUCAUGAGGAAGGAGAUUAUGGAAAACAAUGAUUAUAGUCAACUGGAAUGAGCAAGAGGAGUCCUGUGUCCACAACGACUGCUCAGAAGUCACUUUGUGUGGAGUCAAAUGUAGAAAUCAUAAUCGAGAAUGAAGCAUUCAUCUAUGACCAGAAAGUACCAUGUAUGCUGCCAAGCAGGAAAGAAAUCAACAGUGUGAUUCAGCUGUGACACCUUUGGACUAUGACAAUGACCAGCAUGGCGAGAUACCUAUAAAGAUUUAAAACAUGACGAAGAGUUUGGAGGACAGUGAUAAUCUAUGGACCCAUACAGAUCUGUCAAGAGGAAGCAGUUGCUCCUGUGCUGACAAUGAGGACAUGGACUGUAUCCUCCCAUCUCUGAGCAGUGUCAAUGGCAACUUGACAGUUAUCGAAAGGCUUCAGCCUUGUACUUGGCUGUGUUUAUGUUCAGCCAUCUUAAAACCUGGGCAUUUAUAGCACAUUUCAAUAGCAGCAGCUCUAAGAAUGCGAUAGUAACUGUUUAACCUGGCAGAGCCUUGGGUACGCCUGGUGUGAUAUUGCAAAUGGCACCUUCAACGUCAUAUAGAGCUAAUUAAAGACUAGGUGAUACUUGGGAUUCUUACAGGAACAAACAUGAGAAUCCUAGAGUUUAUAAUUUCAGAAUAAUCAGUAGGGUGUAUAAUUCACUGUCAAUUUAUAGUACCCUGUGCCCUAGUUUUCUUUCUCCUUUCCUAGUUUUAGGAAAGAAUUUUCAAAGAAAAUCUUUUGCUUAUUGCUGACACCAUAAAUUCAUGUAUGCCUAUAAACAUAAAAAAAUGUACUUCAAGAAGAGGUUGGGAUUAUCUUAAAAAUGGGUGCUAUGUGAAGAAACACAAGAUACAUGAGGUUAAAGGUACAGUGUGAGAGAAAACCAGACUGGUGGUAAAGGCAGACACACUAGGAGAUAUAUGUAAAGAAUAUAUGAGAGACAAAGUGUAUCAACCUGUGGGAGGAAGAAAAGGAAGCUUUCACAGAGGAAGUGGCAUUUGUUACAGAGCUAGCUUGAAAGAUACAUAUGUGCUUGCCAGACUGACAGAAUUCUCAGUAUGUUAAAACAUGCGAGUCCCGAUAUUGAACCCUGCUGGGAAAGUAUAAGAAAGGCUGUGUGACUUGGAGGGUAGAAGCAGCUUAAGAGUUUUAAAUUCCACUUGUUUUCUCCAGUUGUGUUUGAUGGUUAUAAGACAGAUAAUACAAUCAGAAAACCCACUUUGAAAUAGGGAACGUAUUAGACAGUCUUUCUUUUCGGAGAAGACAUUAGUGAAAUAUUAUUUAUCAAGCAUACAAGAGGAGGGCUGAGGUGACAAGUUAGUGGGUAAAUGCUUGCCUUGCAAGUAUGAGGUCCUGAUUUUGAUUUCUCAGAUCUCAGGCUAAAGCAGACAGACAGACAGACAAACAAAAUUAGCAAAACCAGAAAACAGCUAAGUUCGGUGGCAUAUACUUGAAAUACCAGCACUGGGCAAGUGCAGACACAAGGAACUCUAGGGCUUGCUGGUCUACCUUACUUGGCAAGUCCCAAGCCAGUGGACAAUUUAUAAGUCCUCUUAAGUGUUCAAAUGAAGGGGAGAGUGGCACACAUGUUACUUUAAAUCAAAAGUAUAAAUGGUAGAGUGAAGAAGAUAAACUAAAAGCUGAGAUAAGCUGAAAGCUAGGUUCUUGUAAGAAUCAUGUCUACUGUUUGAGCUCACACACACACAAAAUGUUCCAGGAAGCAAGACAGGGGCAAAGGGGAAAUAAAACAGCCUCAUCGCUGACACGAAUGAUACAGUGGUCUGCAUUUGAAGGCCAGACGAAUCCAGUAUUGUCUUAAGGUAAUUUUUUGGGUUGUUGUUGAAAAUAGAUUUUUUUCAUAUUAUAUAUUCUGUUCAUGAUUUUUACCUCCGCUGACUGAUUCUCCCAGCCUUCCCACCCAUCCUAAUUAACACCCUUACUAAAUAGAAAACAAGAAGGCAACUAAAAAGUAAUACAAAACAAAACCCACAGAUAAACCAGAAUAGUAUAAAAUAAGCAAACAAAAAUAAGAGACAAAGAUAAAGCUAAAGAAAUACAUACAGCUGUGAAGACAUGGGUUUAUGCAUGUGUGUGGGUCUGCACAUGUCACAGUAUGUGGAGGUCAGCAAGUCGCCCCAUGUGCCAUAUACUAACAGCUGUGAGGAUAUGAGGACAAUAUAGUUGUAUGGAAAUUUCCAGUGGAGUAUAGCUCUUUUACUGUUUUGGAGUUGAAAGCCCCUUCAGCUCUUUCAAUCCUUUCUCUAAUUCCUCCAACAGGGGUCCUGUUCUCAGUUCAGUGGUUUGCUGUUAACAUUCACCUCUGUGUUUGACAUGCUCUGGCUGUAUCUCUCAGGAGACAUCUAUAUUUAGAUUAGAUUUGUUGGAAACUUCUCUUUCUGGAGAGGUCUGUAUAGGUAUUGUUUAGUGUAGAAUAUCAGUUGUGCAAUACAAGGUCAACUUCAUAUUGACAGUGCACUUGGAUGCUUAUAUAACUCAGGGGUGGGAUAAUGGCAACAGUAUAUACAUAGGACAUACUGUUUAAGAUGCAUUUAUUUUAAGUUGUGCAUGUUUGUGUAAAGAAUGUCAAUGUCUGCAGAAGCCAGAAGAUGAUGUUACUUUCUGUUUUGCAUGUCUGGAGUUAAGGGUUGGUUGAGUCGUUCACUGUAGGUUGCUGGGAACCAAACUGGGUCUUCUGCAAGAACAGUAUGUACUCUUAACUGCUGAGCCAUCCUUUGAGCUCCUGUAGUUGAUAAUAUUUAGACUUCUUGCUCUAAGCAUUCAUUUGACAACCAUACAAUCAUUUAGGCUAGGUAUGAUAAAAGUCAUUUUUUCUUUUCUUUCUUUUCUUUCUUUCUUUCUUUCUUUCUUUCUUUCUUUCUUCUUUUUUUUUGCUUUACACAUUUCAUGAAGCUAUACUUGACAAGUGAAAAAUUAUAAUUACAUAGAUUUUUAUAAAAUUUGUAAUCUGCUUUUUAUAUAUGUGUAGCUCAUGAAACAAACUAAGAUAACUACCAUGUUUAUUAUUUCCUAUAAUAUUAAUUCCUAUAAUAUACUUGGUAUGGGGUAAGGGCAUCUAUAAUCUUCUCUCUGAAUUUUCAUGUAUAUAAUACACUAUUAUUAACAAUGGCCACAUUGAAUAGAGAUGACAAGUGUAUACCUCUGUCUAAAUGAAACUUUUUUUCCCCUCAUUCUCCAUUUCCCCUAUCUCACAGCACCCCUGGUACUCAUCGCCUGCAUAUUAUUUCCAAGUUUAGCUUUUUAAUAGUCUAAAUAGUAGCAAAAUUAUGUUUAUUUUAAAAAAUAUGUUUUUCUCUUUCCUUAUGUAAUUCAGGCUAGUCUGAAACCUAUAGUCAUCCUGCCUUAGCCUCCUGAGACCUGGGUUUGUAGGCACGCAUCAUUACUACAAAGAGAGUUUUAUCAGUACACAGCUGUGGCAGUUUGGCUGCGACAGUUUUCAAACUACAGUGACAAUUGAAUACUUGUGACCACAUUUUCCAGAAAGUCAAAAAUAGGAACCCUCUGGAUUUAGAAGAACAAACUUACUGACCCCUGUUGGCAGCACAUCAACAUUUGAGAAUACUGAGACUCUCCCUCAGUAGAAUAUUUCAGGGUGAAUGCUGCUUUGAUAAUUCUGCCUUUAGAUCAUAUCUAAAAAUAGGUUAAGCUCUUCUGGGUGAGGAGAUUAAGAAUAGGACAUUCAUGUUAUUCAUUUUCUUUGGCCAGGAAGCUCCUCCCAUGUUCUUGAAGACCCUCCUUCCUCCUCUCAUUUGGCUCCCCUUUUCUAUCAGCAUCUUUAUGGGGAUGCAUUCUGUAUGCUGCACUGUGUAAAUUAGUCCACUGGUUCACAUGAACAUGCUUGCCUGCUCCAUAUUUCCCACCUCUGUGCUCAGUUUAAGACUUAGAUGGCAGACUUUCUCUGUGUUCAUCCCAUUACAUGUCUGUUUGGCUAGUUUCCUUAAAAUAGCACUUUCACUGUCAUCAUCAGAAACCCCCAGACAACAGAGCAUUGUAGUGAAAAUGGUGGCACCAUUGAACAAACCCAAGUCUCGAUUCCUUAGCACUUGAUUACCCAGGUUAGUGUGAAGAUACUCAGUUCUGUAAACUUCCCAGAUGUCCGUUAAUUCCGUUGUACAAGAGGGAAGACCAUUACCCAAAUUCCUUGGUCAGACUAACCAAGCUCUAUUUUCUGUCAGACAGAGCUAUCUCUCUAAAAUGGGCUUGUGAGUAUAGGAUAUAACACAGGAGAAGAGAGGGGAAAACUACAAGGUUAGGGAGUUUCCAAGGGCCGAGAGAUUUCCGGGAGGAUUGUGAUUUUUGUAGGAGCUUGACGGACAUUUCAAAAUUAUUUGGCAGAACAUCUCAUCAGGAUGGGAAGCAUGUCGAACAGGUUAAAGCAUGGUCAACUUGAACUUUGAAGGAAACAGAAAUGACCUUGUUUUGACCUUGUAACAAAAUGGCUUGCAUCGUUAACAUGGAGUAAGGCUGGUCCAUCGAUGUCUUCAUAGCAGAAAGCAAAAGAAAAUGAACGUUGAAUGUAUAUACGCAGAAGAUACUUCUGCUUUUCUGAAAGAAACUGACUUUUAAAUACUCUACUUAUCCAAGUAUUUUUUAAAAGCUGCUUUUUUAAAAAGAAUUUUUCAUUGAAAAAUAUUUUCCAUAUAGUAUAUUCCAUGCACACUUUCUCCUCUCGUAUCUCCUCCAAAAUCACUGCCCCUCACUUCCCCUUACCCAACUCUAUACCUUCUUCCUCUCUUUCUUUAGAAAACAAAUAGGCAAAUUGAAAAAAGACAAAAGGCCCCUAUACAUAGACAUGUAUUCAGACAGACAGACAGACAUAAACCCCCAAAACAAAGCCCAUAAAACACAAAACAGAAACUCCAAUAGAAAAGUAAUGUUAAAAAGUGCAGAAGCAACUGAAGCCACUUCUUCAUAAAGCCACCUGAAGGACCUUUUACAAAACUUAUAAAGCUGGGGAAAUUUGUUGUCUGUCAGUAUUAGUCCAAGAAGAACAGCGCAGACAUUUUCAGAAUCUGUCUUAAGAAGAAGCCAGGAGUUAAUAAACAAUCUGGAGAACCGAGCAGGUCCAAGUUUUCUGUCUUAAUUAUAGCAUUACGAGUGUGCACUGUAACACUUACAUUACCUUGAUGAAUAUUUUCUCGAGGAGUCCAUAAUGUACAUUUAACAGUAAGCAGAUUGCUAUCACCAACAGUGUCAUUUCUCCUUAGAAACGUAACACAGUUUUGUGAGGAAACGGAUCGAUACAAACACCACACAGCAUCUACGCAUUUUCUGUAGCAUGUGUUUUAAACGCAUUUCUUUAUGGUGUUUCGAAGACACAGCAGAAAGGAAAGCAGCGAAGGUGCUCAGCUCUGUCAAUGUUCGGUGUGUCUGGUCUUCUGUAGAUGGCAGCCAAACUACAGAGAUUCACAAUGUGUUCUUGGAUGCCACACUGAGCAAGCUCAGCUUCCACGGUGGUUGAUUGCUUGUCACUGUCUUCAAAUAAUGAUGAUGGGAAUAUUGAACUCAGGGAAGCGACAGAGCUGCGAUCCAAUGGAAGGGACUAGAGCAAACGAUGCUCGUCAUAUGGCUGCCCACUGGGACAAGUAGGCAAAGGACGUGCAGGGCCUAGGGAAGGUAACAGAACAUCAGAUUCAAGGACAAAAAUAUGAUGUCAUCCGAUGUUGACAGCUAUCACAAGGUUGUGUUUUUAGCUCAGACUUAGAAACCUGGGCCAGUUCAUAUUUGAAGAGGAAUAGAUAUUUGGUAGCAUGUGAACACAGAUUUUGUAUGAGGAAAAAUAUGCAAGCACUAGGAUUCUUUAUGAAAAGCAUCUGAAUGCCCCUAAAAUACAAUUAAAAGUAAAAUCUCACUAAUGUAUCAGUUUCAGAAAACCCCAGUGCAAUGCCAGAUUACACGCAAUCUGGGAUUCCUGCUCUUUAACUAAAAAAUGAUCGUGCUUUAAGAUAAGAAUGUUUGUCUUUUCUGGACCUGGCCAAGCAGGAGACACCAUCAUGGCUGUUGACAUUCGCCACAAGGACUUAAAGGUUCUGUUCAAGGAACCCAAGAGCCAGGACAUCGACAUACAAGCUGUACAGGUUUCUGGCCAGACGGACCAACUCCACUUACAGUAAGGUGCUGAAAAGGUUAUUUAUGAGCCACACUAACUGACCACCUCUGUCCCUGUCCCGAAUGAUCCAAAAGAUGAAGCUUCCUGGCUGGGAGAACAAAACUGCUGUGGUUGUGGGGAUGGUCACAGAUGAUGUGCGGAUUCUGGAAGUGCACAGGCUGAAGGUGUGUGCACUGAGGGGGAGCACCGGGCCUGAAGUCGGAUCCUCAAGGUUGAGGGUAAGAUCCUCACCUUCAACCAGUUGGCCCUUGAGUCUCCCAAGGGACGAGGCACCGAGCUCCUUUCUGGUCCUCGGAACGGUAGAGAGAUGUACUGACACUUUGGCCAGGCCCCAGGAACUCCGCACAGCCACACCAAACCCUAUGUUCGUUCCAAGGAAGUUCGAGCAUGCCAGAGGUUGAAGGGCCAGCUGAGUCUACAGAAACUAAUCCUGGCUUUUACUGUUAAUAAAAAAUAGCUUUGGAUGUUAAAAAAGAAUGUUUACGGCUCAGAUUUAAAAUAAAUUUUUGUUUGUUAGUCUUGAGGAAAACCAAUUCUCUCUCACACACUUAACAGAUACACAUUUAUAGUUUUUGAGAUAGGAUCUUGUCAUGAAGCUCACUCAGGUUUGAGCUCUUGACUCUCUGUCGAGUGUGGUGAUGAUUUGCAUGCAAGGCACACUUUAACUUUUGUUCAGUUUGUUUUAAGACAGGAUCACACUAUGUAGAUUAGGCUGGCCGGGAACUUGUUAUGUAGACGGGAAUGGACUUUUGCACUGUCCUUUCUACCUCUGCCUCCAGAAUGUUGUGAAUACACUUGUGUACUACUACGACCAUCAUGCAAAUUGGCUCUUUCUUUUAAAAUUUAUCUUGUGUUAUGUGUAUGAAUGUUUUACUGGUGUAUAUGUAUGUGCACCACAGUGGUUUACCAACCAUGCUCACAAUCGCAGCAAGGCUGACUUUAAAGGUCAGACUGUUUUUGAUUCUCUACCCAGGUCCUAGUAUUUAUCUUUCACCAGAAGAAUGAAAUUCCCAUCUUUUUUUAAAGAAUGAGAUAUAAAGGAACGCAAACACUGGCCAUUUGGAAAAUAUAGCUGUAUCACAUGAGAAAGUUUUUAUUUUAUUUUUUGAAAAAGAGCAAUAGGAAGUUGGAAGAAGAAAUUAAAUAACAAUGAAUGUUGUUCUGUGGGGAAUGUUACAGGCUUAGGUAGGAAGUUCUCUGAAAAAUGAAAAAGGCAAACAAGAAAUUUCACCCUGCUAAUAUAGGUGUCAUGCUCCGGGCGAUGAAAAUAAAUCACCAGCUCUGAUAUCGAGGGGAAAAAUGCCAAAUAGCUACAAAUGAUCAUAAUAUUUGUUUUAUUUCUACAAUUUGAAAAACAAAGUUUGAGAAAGGGAGGUAGACUAUUGUUUUUGUUGCCCGGCUCCCCUCAGGAGCCAUUAACGGGGAACAAAAAGAUAGAUAUUUGCCCCUGAAUUUUUUCUGUACAGAAAGGAUUGCAACAUUCGUUUAAGAUGGUGGUUCUGGAGCAGGUGAGAUCAGCAGGUAUCUUUCAUGGCAAUUAUAUCUUUCUUCCAAAGCAAGGUGACUGAAAUGGAGUUAAAAGGGUAAGGUUUGAGAAUGCUAGGAUGUGGAAAGAGCAGUGUGUGCGAAUACAUCUGAGCAUGAAGGCCAGAGGUCAGUUCCGGAAAGGUCUGCCUUGCUAUUUUAAACACCGUCUCUUAUUGGGAGUCAAUUAGAUUAGUCUUAUUAGGGAUCACACAGAUUAGCCCAGGCUGGCUUCCCAGCAAGUCCCUGAGAAAGCUACGCCUCUGUACUUCCAACAUUUAGAAUGACAAGCAUAGGCCAAGGUCCGCUUUCCUUAUGGGUGUUAUGUAUGCAUCGCAGAUCCUCAUGGAUUACUUGACCAACUGAGCCAUUGUCCCAGACUCUAAGGAUCCAGUUUGAAAUGACAUAGACUGUGACAACUACUGGCACUGCUGAAUACACAUGAGAAAGCGUUACUUGGUAAUUUGGAUAAUAGCAGGUGGAGAGCUACUGGAAAGAGGAGAGCCCUGACACAGGGUUGAAGGUGCAGCCAAGCUCCACUUGUGAGGCACAGGGUGGAACCCAACAUAAGAUGGUAGGACCCUUGACAUACAAGAGGUACAUGGACACAAAGGUGGCAGUGCGAGUGGACCAGGACUUGAGCCUGAAAUGAUUGAUCUUCCUCUCUGUCCAGUGAUGUGUAUUCUGCAGACUGGCAUCAUGCAUCCAAAAGAGGCGAAUGCUAGCAGCAAGCCAUUGAACUGAGAACAGGAUCCCUACUGGAGGAAUUGGAGAAAGGAUUGAAGGAGCUGAAGGGUUUACAACCCCAUAAGAACAACAAUGCCAACCAACCAGAGCUUCCAGGGACUAAACCACUACCCAGAGACUAUACAUGGACUGACCCAUAGAUCCAACUGCAUAUGUAGCAGAGAAUGGCUAUGUUGGGCACCAAUGGAAGGAGAAGCCCUUGGUCCUUGGUUGGACCCUCCAGUAUAAGGGAAUGGGGG
ensembl:lncRNA